GACGAACGCUGGCGGCGUGCUUAACACAUGCAAGUCGAACGAAGUGGCGAACGGGAGAGUAACGCGUAAUCAACCUGCCCUUCAGAGGGGGACAAGAGUUGGAAACGACUGCUAAUACCACAUCCUGUAGGAGGGGAUUGCGUUUGAUUGGCUCGUUGGAGGGGUAACGGCCCACCAAGGCUAUGAUAAGUAGCCGUGCUGAGAGGAUGAACGGCCACAUUUGGACUGAGACACGGCCCAGACUCCUACGGGAGGCAGCAGUAGGGAAUCUUCCGCAAUGGACGGAAGUCUGACGGAGCAACGCCGCGGGAGUGAUGACGGCCUUCGGGUUGUAAAGCUCUGUUAAUCGGGACGCGGUACCGGAAUAGAAAGCCACGGCUAACUACGUGCCAGCAGCCGCGGUAAUAC
rnacentral:rRNA from 1 species